rnacentral:rRNA from 1 species
CCUACGGGGGGCAGCAGUGGGGAAUAUUGGACAAUGGGGGCAACCCUGAUCCAGCCAUGCCGCGUGUGUGAAGAAGGCCCUCGGGUUGUAAAGCACUUUCAGUGAGGAAGAACGCCUGGUGGUUAAUUCCCAUCAGGAAAGACAUCACUCACAGAAGAAGCACCGGCUAACUCCGUGCCAGCAGCCGCGGUAAUACGGAGGGUGCGAGCGUUAAUCGGAAUUACUGGGCGUAAAGCGCGCGUAGGUGGCUUGAUAAGCCGGUUGUGAAAGCCCCGGGCUCAACCUGGGAACGGCAUCCGGAACUGUCAAGCUAGAGUGCAGGAGAGGAAGGUAGAAUUCCCGGUGUAGCGGUGAAAUGCGUAGAGAUCGGGAGGAAUACCAGUGGCGAAGGCGGCCUUCUGGACUGACACUGACACUGAGGUGCGAAAGCGUGGGUAGCAAACAGGAUUAGAUACCCGGGUAGUC